CUACGGAGGGUGCAAGCGUUGUCCGGAUUUAUUGGGUUUAAAGGGUACGUAGGUGGAUUCUUAAGUCCGUGGUGAAAGCCCGCAGCUCAACUGCGGAACUGCCAUGGAUACUGGGAAUCUUGAAUUCAGUUGAGGUUGGCGGAAUUUAUGGUGUAGCGGUGAAAUGCAUAGAUACCAUAAAGAACACCUAUUGCGAAGGCAGCUAACUGGACUUGAAUUGACACUGAGGUACGAAAGCGUGGGGAGCAAACAGGAUUAGAAACCCUAGUAGUCC
rnacentral:rRNA from 1 species